rnacentral:rRNA from 1 species
GUAAACGGGUGGCGUCAAGCUGCGAACCCAGAGGAUUCAGCUGGCUAGGAUGUUGUGAUGCGCCUGGCGCAUCCAUCAGUCGGAAUAAGAUGUGAUAGUCCACUGGGAGACGGUGGGCCCGGCCGUAAGGUUGGGAUAUGUGUACCGGGUGUUAGCCGGAGCAUGCUAUUCAUCUGUUGGGCUGUCUAGUCAGUGCAUUUUCUCUGUGGUGAACACCACGACCGGUGGAAUUGCCAGUCUGCUGUAGUCGAGUCUUGCUGAGAGGGUCCUUGUGGCCAACUUGGUGAGAUCACAGGCAAUGUCAGUGUACGGCGUGGGAGUGCCUUUGGUGUUCCUACGUGUUAUCGGGCGCUGCUUGUCAACGGGCCUGCUCGGCGGUUGUUGUAACUGCUGCUGGGUGGUCUGGUGGGCUAUGGUGGUAAGAAUAACUGUGCAAGGCACCGGAGUUGGCGGCUCCAAAUGCGCUCUGCACUGGCAUGUUACAAGUGCGAGGGGGUGCCAUUGCGGUCUGCCUGUUGUUGAGUCUGAUUGUCGUGUCGCCUGCGCAAAGUGGGCCCGGCAGUGGCUUGAUGCAGGAUGGGCUGUGGAUGGUGUCUCUCAGGUGUAGAGUGCAGGGAGCCCAAUAGUCAGUGGUGCUGUGGUAGACGAGCUACCCGACCCGUCUUGAAACACGGACCAAGGAGUUUAACAUGUAUGCGAGUCAAGGGGUCCUACGAAACCCAAAGGCGCAAUGAAAGUAAAGCUUCGACUUGUCUCGGAGUGAGGUGAGAUCCUGCCGUAACUCGCAUCGCUUGGUGCCAGCAUCAGGCAAAGAGCGGUGGGCGCAUCACCGGCCCGUCUUAUGAUGUGGUCAUUGGAUGUCUGCGGUCGUUCUUGU